rnacentral:rRNA from 1 species
UUAAACGGCCGCGGGAUCCUCCACCGUGCAAAGGUAGCAUAAUCACUUGUCCCCUAAAUAGUGACUAGUAUGAAUGGCCAAAUGAAGAUUUUACUGUCUCUUAUAGCCAAUCUAUGAAACUAAUCUAUCAGUACAAAAACUGAUAUACUAUCAUAAGACGAAAAGACCCUGUGGAACUUUAAACAUAACCCACCAUAUAUGGCCUACUGCUUUUAGUUGGGGCAACUUUGGAAAUAAACUAAACUUCCAAUGACAAAUCAAGAUGAACACAUCAACAACACAACAUAUGACCCAGCAUCACGCUGAUCAAAGAACCAAGCUACCCCAGGGAUAACAGCGCCAUCCCCUCAUAGAGCCCAAAUCGACGAGCGGGGUUUACGACCUCGAUGUUGGAUCAGGGCCCCCAAACAGUGCAACAGCUGUUAACGGUUUGUUUGUUCAACAAUUAAAGCCCU